rnacentral:rRNA from 1 species
GAUGAACGCUAGCGGGAGGCUUAACACAUGCAAGUCGAGGGGUAUAGUAGCAAUACUAGAGACCGGCGGACGGGUGCGUAACGCGUAUGCAACUUGCCUUAUACAGGGGGAUAGCCCGUGGAAACGCGGAUUAAUACCCCAUAUGUCAUUUGGGUCGCAUGGUCUGGAUGAUAAAGCUGAGGUGGUAUAAGAUGGGCAUGCGUCUGAUUAGCUGGUUGGUAGGGUAACGGCCUACCAAGGCGACGAUCAGUAGGGGUUCUGAGAGGAUAAUCCCCCACACUGGUACUGAGACACGGACCAGACUCCUACGGGAGGCAGCAGUGAGGAAUAUUGGUCAAUGGGCGAGAGCCUGAACCAGCCAUUCCGCGUGAAGGAAGAAGGCCUUAUGGGUUGUAAACUUCUUUUCUGUAAGAAGAAAAGUCCCGACGAGUCGGGAUGUGACGGUAUUAUAGGAAUAAGCAUCGGCUAACUCCGUGCCAGCCGCCGCCGUAACAC